AGGAGCGUUUGAGGCACAGGAAGAACAGAUCACUUCUCUUCCCCACUUCUUCCUUUGCUCCCCCAACAGAGUCGUUUCCGGCAGCUCUGCUGUCUCAGGGCUGGAAGGUCGUUUUCUGACUCUCUCUCUCAGCAAAUAGGCAGGUUGAUCUCAGCAUGCAACUCGGAUAUCUCACCCUCACUGUUUUCCUGAGGCAACUGCUGGGUACCGUGGGGCAGAUCACUGUCACCCAGCAAGAAGGACAAGUCACAGUAAAGGAGAGAGACAGCUUUCAAACAACUUGCACGUACCAGACAUCUUACUCUCCAUCCUUGCUUUGGUACCAGCAGAAGAAAGACCAAGCCCCACAGCUCAUCUCGUAUCAGGCAGCUGCUGGCCUCAAGCAGAGUGGCCGUUUCACCACGCUGCUGAACACCACAGGGAAAUACAGCCUCCUGCAGCUGCAGGAGGUCGAGCUCUCCGACAGUGCCUUGUACCUCUGUGCUGGGCAAGACACGCUGGUGCAGGGAGCUGCCUCAGCUGUGCAAUAACGCAGGAAGGGAGGGUUUGGGUUGGGGGGA